UCAGAGGCCACGGUCUGUCUGCAGCUUGUAAUAAUUAGAUCCGCUUACUACUAAGUAUAAUAAUUUUAAUUAAGUUGUAAAAUAAAUAAGGAUUCUAUAGAGAAAUUAAUCGAGGAACUUCACAACUAAUGAGGCAGAUAGUUGGGGUCGCGACCUGUUCAGUAAAGUGAUAAACUGAUAUUACUUUUUAUAACGUGAAUGACGAUUAGAAUUAUUAAAUUAGUCUACCAGCCGAGCCCGUAUAGAACAGAGCAAAGAGCUUGGACUAUUGAGAUAAGGAAUGAUGCAAGGGGGUGUGCGGCCGUGCCUCCGCCUGACCCGCCUAUCUGCGUGUGCGCCGAUAAACACGGCAGAGGAAAAUUACGCGGCGAUUCGAGAACUAAACUAUUGUCGCGGGAGAGAAACUAGGUACUUAUGGUUUUUGUUUUCAUAACACUUACCCAUGCUGAGGGAAACUCACAAAGACAAAAAAAAUAUAUUUUUUUUUUGAGUUUUUUAGUUUUGCAUGGACAGGAGGAGGACCCGGAUGUGUAAUAGUUAACGUAACACGCUCCUCCCGGCUUGACAAGUGCUGCGGGUUCAAGUCGCGUCCGAGUCACGUUUUUGUUUUGCGAUUUUUCUCUUUGGACGCUACUUUACGUUACGAUGUCGCACCCACCCUAUAGAAUAGAAUAGAAUAGAAUAACUUUAUUCCCAGAACAGUGAAGGUUACUAAAGCAUUUACAUAAAUUAAGUUUAACAAUUUGUGACUAGUAGCUAACACUGCCCAGGGAAAUGGGACUGACUCAGCAUAUUGUUGCUAAGAGUAUGGUACGAGUACCCACUCUCACCAACACUGAUAUUCUGCCAGUACCCAUAUUACGCUUAUAAUUAGUAAUAAAUGAAUUGAACGUGCCAACA
rnacentral:misc_RNA from 1 species